CAAAAUCUCACUUCCCAUCACAGCAUCAGUCUUAGAGGAGCCUGAAGUUUUGGUGAAAAGCAUGGAAAUGUUGCUGUGUCUCCAUCCCCAUGGUGCCUCGAACAGCAGUAUGGGGGCUGUUACGAGAGAAAUCCCUCCUCAUCUUCCACUAUGAAAAUGAUAAACGGCUGACUGGAGAUAUCUGAAAUAUCGCCAGAUCUCCCUGAUGUAUCACGUGUCGCCAGCAAUCAUAAACAGUGACUAAUCUUUGGUCAUGAACUAUAUUUAUGGCUUUCUUGUCAUCAGGAGGAUAUUAACAUGAUUGCCGGUGUCAAGGAUGCUUAAAAACCAAGCCCAUGAUAUUGGAAGAAUGAAUAAUUUAUCCAAAUAACUAUGAAGAUUUUCUUCAUCGUCUGUGAACAAAACCACAGAGUGAACUUCAGCCUUAAAAUACCAAGAGGUGUAUUUCAUGGAUUAAAGCGGACAGCUAU